UACGUAGGGGGCGAGCGUUGUCCGAAGUUACUGGGCGUAAAGAGCGCGUAGGCGGGUCUUUACGUGAGGGGUGAAAGGUUCAGGGCUUAACCCGGACACUGCCUUUCAUACUGGAGAUCUUGAGUGCGGGAGAGGCGAGUGGAACGGUCGGUGUAGCAGUGAAAUGCGUAGAUAUCGAUCAGAACACCCAUGGCGAAGGCAGCUCGCUGGUCUGCAUCUGACGCUGAGGCGCGAAAGCGUGGGGAGCAAACAGG
rnacentral:rRNA from 1 species